GAGGAGCUUCUUCAGCGUAGGGGUGUUCAGUUAUGCUCAAGGUGUGCAAUCUGUUUGAAUGCUAGGGAGAUCGGUCGACAUUUGUUCUGGGAUUUCCCAUUAAUUCUGGGGUUAUGGGAGUGGCUUUCAGCUAGCUCUCUUCCAACGGGCUUUUGAUUCGGGUUGUAACAUGCAUGUUAUGGUGUACUUGGUUUGAGAGAAAUCGGUUGAGGCAUAAGUUGAAUUGAUCCCCGUUGAGAGCUGCUGCCCCAAGUUUCAUGGGUGAAGGUUAAUACAGAUGGCUCAUUUCAUGGCCCAGGCCAGGCAGGUGCCGGUGGUAUUUUUUGCAAUCAUUCUGCGGCAUUCUUAGGUUCAUUCUCUCAGAGAGUUGAGGUCACAGCGCGGUGGAGGCUGAAGUGUUUGCAUUAUUUGAAGCCUUGAUAAUUGCAUGGAAUAAAGGAUGGAAUCACUUAUGGGUGGAAACUGACUCACCAAGUUUGUUCAUCUAUGACCUUGCUGUACUUUGAAUUAGCAUUAGGUUUUCAAGUAAUUACCAUAGAAUAGGUUUCCGAAGUUUUCUUGUAGUGAAACCCCUUCUGUUCUUCUCUAAGAAUGGCCUUUACCAAAAGUUUGUUCCCAUCAUCUUUUCUUCUCUACCUUCAUCUCCCAUGCAGCAUAAGUAUCUUCUUUCCACAGCUCUGUCUAGCCUCUAGCACCUCUAGCGAAUGUCGAAUGAUGCUUCCAUCUCAAAAACCUUGUCCUGGAUACUUAAAAUGCAGUUGAUCAUAUGUGCUAACCAAGGCCUUUGAAUACUUGCAUGAGUAAUAGCCGGUACUAAACUACUAAUGAUCCUUAAUUGUAUGAGGAACCUGUCACCGAGCUUCUGCCUUCUCCUCUCAACAUGCUGGUUUGAACGAUAUACCAUUCUUGUUGUGUCUCCUUAUACCAAUCCUGCCUUCUCCGUUACCUU